rnacentral:rRNA from 1 species
UACGUAGGCAGCAAGCGUUGUUCGGAAUUCCUGGGCGUAAAGAGUGCGUAGGCGGUGCUCUAAGUCUGUUGUGAAAUCUCCCGGCUUAACUGGGAGGGUGCGGCGGAAACUGGAGUGCUUGAGGGUGGGAGAGGUAAGCGGAAUUCCUGGUGUAGCGGUGAAAUGCGUAGAUAUCAGGAGGAACACCGGUGGUGUAGACGGCUUUCUGGACCGUAACUGACGCUGAGACACGAAAGCGUGGGUAGCAAACAGG